CUAAUUGAUCACAACCAGUUACAGAUUUC
rnacentral:piRNA from 2 species